UACGUGGGGGGCUAGCGUUGUCCGGAAUCAUUGGGCGUAAAGAGCGUGUAGGCGGCUCGGUAAGUCCGCUGUGAAAGUCCAGGGCUCAACCCCUGGAAUGCCAGUGGAAACUGUCGAGCUAGAGUCCGGAAGAGGCGAGUGGAAUUCCGUGGUGUAGCGGUGAAAUGCGCAGAUAUCAGGAGGAACACCAAUGGCGAAGGCAGCUCGCUGGGACGGUACUGACGCUGAGACGCGAAAGCGUGGGGAGCAAACAGG
rnacentral:rRNA from 1 species